rnacentral:rRNA from 1 species
AUGGUAUUUGGCAAUACUGGCUCUUGGGCUGCCCAAUUGAUCACUGAAGCUGGUGGCAAGGUGGUCUCCAUCAGAGAUGUCACAGGGACUGUCAAGAACUCCAAUGGCAUUGACAUAGCCAAGCUGAUGAAGCACUUGGCAGAGAACCGCGGGAUCAAGGGCUUUGACGGAGGCGACGCCGUCGACCCGACCUCGCUGCUCACGGAAGAGUGCGACGUGCUCAUCCCUGCAGCUCUGGGAGGAGUCAUAAACAAGGACAAUGCUGAUGCCAUCAAAGCAAAGUACAUCAUCGAGGCUGUUAACCACCCAACAGACCCCGAGGCCAACAAGGCAAGAACACCAACAUUUUGCCACAAAACUAAGCUGCAUUUGUUGACACAUUCACGCAUUGACUGCCAGCAGAGAAAUGUUCAUGUUCGUGGUGCAGAUUCUGGCAAAGAAGGGCGUGCUGAUCCUAUCGGACAUCAUGGCCAACUCCGGGGGAGUGAUGGUGAGCUGCUUCGAGUGGGCCGUUGGGCGUCCAAGAGGCACUUGACCUUUUCGGAUCACGCUGCCAUUGGCGUAAUCCAGGCCGGAUCUAUGGAGAGCCCGGCGCAACACCGUCACAGAUUGAUAAGGGCCGGAGCUUCAAUGACAAAUCUACUAUAUUCAGCACACAACCCAACUCAGCAGGCACGAGCCAUGUCGACAAUCGGGGUGGCACUCGGGUGCAUGCUCGCCUCGACAGUCAUCAAGGUCGCAAUAGAGUCGGUGGAGGCUGUGCUCGGCAACGCUGAGAGAGAGUCUAUCGAGCAUAAGUCCAUGCUGUUGUGGCUGAACCGACUUAUGGAUGCCGACAUGCUUGAAGAUUUUGAAGAUGAAACCGACCUCAACCUGUGGGCAGCCACGAUGAAGAAGAUUAAGAUGCCACAUAACAUGAGAUCGAUGCAAAAGCGCAUAUAA